rnacentral:lncRNA from 1 species
UAAGGCUGUAGACAUGUCUCCUAUUCUUAUAUUUCUUUUAUGUUCUUCAAUUCAGUUUUUUAAAUUUCUAUAGGUUGCCCCUAUAUAGAUAUAAGGCAGAUAAUAGCCUUAGUAGAAAGGGCUAAGACCCACUGUAAUAAAGAAGAAGCCUUGAGAGAAGAAAUGGGAAAUAUAAUCAAAAUAGCUAUAAAUCAUGGAUACAAACCUUUCAUUGUUAACAAAAUAAGCAGGCAAAUAGACGACAGAAAUAUUAGGAGAACUGAGGCCGCGAGAACUAACCAGACCCCUACAUUAAGACCCAUAGUACAAGAAACACCUAAGUACGAAGUAGUAGAAGUAGUACCAGCAAACUUAGGAGAUUCUAAGUUAGUAAACACUCUCUUAUAGAAGCAAAAAACGAAGUCAGCAUAUGAAAAGCCCCUACUAUUUUUGAUGUAUUAAGGAAUAAUAAGGACCCUAGGAAAGAGGUAACAAGAGUGGCAUCUAUCAAAUUCUCUUAGUUAAUUUAGACACAGGAGCCCAAGAAAUCUAUAUAGGAGCAACCUAUAGAAGCUUGAAAAUCCGGAUUGAGGAGCAUAGGACAAAUAUAAGAAUGGGGGACGCAUCUAUAGCCUUAGCGGUGGAAGCUUGCCAACAUAGUGUUGCGGUCGAGUGAGAGGAAGC